rnacentral:lncRNA from 1 species
GGACCCAAAGGUUCUCUUUUGGGAUGGAAGUGAACUUCUCCAUGCUUAUCCCUUCCUACUCAGGUUCGUUCCUUUUUACUUUCCAAUUUCCCCCUUACUUUUUUAUUUUCUUAUAGAUGUCCUAUAUGACAUCCUUCUAUGAUACUUGAUAUUCCAUGGUUUGUAUUUCUCUCUCUCACUCUCACUCUCCCUGAUUGCGCAGAUGUCUUUAUUGGUGGACCCAGUUUGUGGCAGCCUAAUUUCCUGAUCUUAGAAGAGAGGCCCACUUUAGUGAUUGCUGACGAUGGCCUGCUUCUGGUUUAGAUUUUGCAUUUUGAAGGAGUGGACCUUUUCCUCCUGGGUAGAUUCAUACCUUUGUCAAUACUCUCCUAUUCAUAAUUCACUCACUCACUCACUCACUCCUACCUAUAAUUCUUAGACCAUCAUUUUUUGGGUCAUAAUUGUUAGACUAUCAUUUGUUCAUGACCUCAGGGCUUUUUUGGACUGUCACAAACCAAUUCUUUUCUUACAUGCACAAGUACUGAAAUGUACAAGAUGCUAACAUUACUAAAGAUGAAUUGCAGAUUGAUGAUUAUAUUGGGGUAUUGAGAUUUGUGAAGUAUUAAGAAGCGGAUUAAUCGAAAUGCAAUCAAGCAGAAGUAGUAGCUGAAGUGAGCAGUGAGUAAUAAGAAGUAUGGUUUAUGUUGGAGGAAAUGAUGAAUAUGUCCCUAAGCAAGCGAAGACAAAUUAGACAUUGUGUAGUACAUAACAUGUGCGGUGGGAAUCUACUUUUGCUUUUCUUUCCCUUUGUUCCUUGCAUUUCCAGCAAAUAGGUUGGAAAGGAGCUCAGCUCUAGUUUGCCCAAUGAAAGCUAUUUUUUUAUAAUAAUGGAACAUGUAGAUAACUCCAUCAUUGGUUGGACCCAAUUCCAGCAAUCCAACUAUAAUAAUCCACGCC